GACAGUUUGGGAAGAGUCUCCAGCAGACCGGCGUGCCUGGUCUCACAGAUGACUUCCCAACCCCGUGCCAAUGGGAAACCAACAGAGGCAAGUGGCCAGGGUGGAGAGCCUGGGAGGCAGAGCAGGUGGCCCUGGCACAGCAGGUCUGGGUAAGUCAUGUCUGGGCAUUGUUCUGGGGGCUGUCGGGCUGCUGGAGCAAGGGAAGGGAACACAGGCAUGAAUGUGUUCAGUGCACAAUGGGAGAGGGUCUGGUAGGGGCAGGGGCACUGGAUCAGGCCAGCUUUGCAAAGCAAGAUUGCUGCCUGCAGACUGGACAAGGGACAGGCAAGGCCAUAGCCAGUGCCCAGGUUCCCCGCCCUGCAAUGUGGCUGCAGGAAGGAUGGUCCACCAGGCAGGAGGAAAGGGGCUGAGGGACAGAAAUUUACCUGUCAGAGGAUAAGGAGGCAGGGGGCAGUGAAGAUGGUAAGCUGAUGGAAAGGGAGGUCAUAUCCAAGUUCUGUCAUUGACUCCCUGAGUGACCCUGAACAUGUCCUCCUCCUCUCUGACCCUCAGUUUCCUUGGAAACAUAAUGGGGAUAAUUGUUACUGGUUCUGCCUUACCCACAGGAAUCUUGUGAAAAGACAAAAUAAUGAGCCAGAUAAUGGAUGUUCCAGGGCUUGUAAAUGGUCAAGGCUGGGCUAAGCCCCUGCCGCACUUGGCCUCAUGGAAUCCCAGCCUGUAGUCAAUUCACAAUUUCUCUGUGGCAGGAUUGAGUGGCGACAAUAGGUUGUGGAGGACUGUGUGUGGCUGUGGCCUAUCUUGAAGCGGUAUUUCCAUGCCACUCAUCAGGAAAAAUUGGGAAAGACUUUAAAAUGGGCAAAACAUGAUCACUAGAUGUUCUUCUAAAGCAUCCUUUUGGGUUAUCUGCUCCUUUAACUGUUUUCAAGCUAUCUUACAAUUUUAUAUGUUGUAGACAACUGAUAGCAAUGCAAAUAAUUCCAGU
rnacentral:lncRNA from 1 species